CGUUGCCACAGGCCGACCAGCCACGUCCUCGCCAAGCCGCCGCCGUACGCCUCUCGAAGCCAGAUCUUUCACCAGAGCGACCGCCUAAGUGUCCCUGAGCUUAUCCCUUCACCCGUGCUCUCUUCGACGCGCCGAGGGCGGCGAAAUCGUCCUCGAGCUUCUUCCUGGCUGCUUCUUCUCUCGUCCUUGGCGACGCCGUGAAACUCGUCGUCGAACUCGAGACCUAUGCAACGAGACCUCCUAGCCGCGCCGCACCUAGCGUCGCAAGCCGUAGCUCCUGGAGUGCUUCCUGCAGGCCGGAACGCGAGCAGCAUGCCGCUGCGUCCAGAGCACGUCCGCGCGCCGCCACCUCGCGCCACCGUGGUCGUAGCCCUCCCCAGGCCGCGUAACCUUGCCCUAAAGCUCCGCCUCGUCGCGGUGAUCCUCCGUUCUGAAGGAAUCGUCCCCAAACUCCGGUAAUCGCCGCCAUCAAGCUCAUCUUCUCCAACUCCGGCCUCCCGCCGCCGCCGUGUCGAUCUCCUCCGCCGGUGAUCCCCGGACUUCACCGAGACCCUCCCUAGAUCCGCGCAGACGUGUAGAACCUGUUGGUUCUCUUCAUCGAGCCCCGGUCGCCCCGAGCCGUCCCCGCGCCGUCCCUCUGCAUCGGCCGCCGCCCGCCGCCGACGAGCUCGACCGUGCGGUGCUCCUCCAGUCCGUCCGAGCCCUGCAGAAGCUUCGUGGAUCCGGAGAUGAUGUGAGUACCAAGCAAGAGCUGAACAGUGCUGAGGCCGUGCCAAAGCACUGGACAUCAGGCAAGCAGCCCCCUCCUUUGACCAUGUUGAAUCCCGUUACUUUCAAAUUACAUUUGCUUUCAAUUGUUAUAGAUGCAUUCGAUUCAAUUGUUAUUUUCCGUCAGAUUGAGAGUUAGGCCUAUCCUUUGCAUAAGCUUGUUAUCUGAAACCUUAAUGCCAUGUUACCUUCCACAUCCCAGCAUGACUAGCUAGAAUUGCUUGUUGUAGUUUAGCAAGCCUUUAUUUUAUGUGCUAUAUGCUUAGCCAUGCUUAGACUUAUUGAGUUGAUACAUCAAUUGGAUUGAUGAAUCUAGUUAUGUGGUGGAUAAACUUGACUAGGAUGGGUAACAGGGCAGUCAGAAGGCAGAGGCAUGUAAAUCUGAACAGUUAAAAGCUUAGGUGAGAGGCCAUGUUGGAGAGCGUGGUGGGUUGUCUCAUCUUUGUUGUUUAAGGACCGGUUUCUGGUUACACUGAUCCAAGAACCACACAUUGGGUUAUGGGGCCCGCAUCGACCUAGCAUGACUAGACUUUUGGUCCAUGAGCUACAUUUAGUUCGAGCUUUCUUGAUGAGAGUAAAAGAGAAAGGGAGUGAGUAAGGGUGGCUAUGCAAGGCUUCUCCGGGAGAAUGGUUUCUUGCCCCGCACACAACUUUUGGGACCAUGUCCGAGGGACUGUCAGACUCGUGAUUAUAGAACGGACCAUUAGGUGGCUGAUGGAUUAGGUCGAAGCAUUGCAAUAGUCGUGGACAACCUCCUUCUGACACACACUUUGAGUGUGUUGCAAGUACCGGCAUUGGCAGACGGUUGGCGUGUGUGGGUAAAGUUAUACACCCCUGCAGGGUUCAAUCUAUUCGAAUAGCCGCGUCCUCGGUUAUGGACGACUUGGAGAUCUGUACUUGAAUUAGAUAACUUGAAUAAAGUCUAAAACUGGAUAACAACAGGGUGUCGCUACGAAUGGCUUCCUCGGGGUUGGAACGAGGGGGUGUUCGUGGCACUGUUUGGGUGGUGUCAGUUAAGAUAGAGAGUACUCAAAGUUCGCUCUCUCAUCCUCUUUCAAAACUGCCCAGUAGUCGCUUUCAACUUAGUAGUCUAUUGAAAAGGGUCAAAACUAGCUUUGUGCAUCAAAUAGUCCACAUAAAGCCCUUGUCGAUACCUCCUUCAUCUAUUACUAUGUUGACGUAAGUCUUGCGGAGUACUUUUGUACUCAUCUUGCUUUAUUAUAAUGAUUUGGGUUCAGCGAAGAGCAUCCUUUGGAUGUUUCCUCCUGGAGAUCAACGACGAAUAUAGCUUGGAAGUCCCAACAGUGGUCUGGGAAGGGUGUGGUUGCCAUCUGCUUAACCUCAAGCCUUCUUAAGGCCUUUGUUAAGUUUGUACCUGUCAAAGGUACCUAUUUGUUUCCGUUGUGUGAGUUGCAACUUGGUCGUAAGAUCCUCGAUGUAAUAAGUUGUUAACUUUGCUCGAUUAAGAGUUGUUUGGUAUAUUACAGUUUC